UCGAGUCGAUCUCGAAUCGAGAACCCACCCAGCAUUCCCAGGCCACCGCCGCCACCAGCCCACCACCAUGGCCAAGCUGCCAGCCGUCCUCCACACCCCGCGUCCCUCUUUUCCUCCGGCCAGCGCCCGUCGCCGCCGGUCGGACCUCGUCCGACCCGCCGACUCUCCUCGCCCCAACCUCCAUCCCCCGCGCCGACCUCUCCUCCUGCAGCUCCAAGGCCGCCGCCGUCGCCUGCACUAACUGCAGCUCCGUGGGCUCUUCGUCGUCGUCCAUCACCCGCGACCUCGCCUCCAUCCCCAAGGUUAUUUGGUACAAACUGACUCAAAUGUUGAUGCGCUGGAGAAUACUUUGUCCCAGCAGAAACAAAAGUUUGCUGGACAGAUGCUUGUCACAACUGGAGACCAGAACGAGAGAGGUUCCCCUGAUCCUGGCAUGCUGAAAAAGAGAAGAGUGCUUCUGGCUGGACCGGGAACUCCUCAACCUCCUGAGCUGCGGCGUGCGCUCAUUGCCUGAUCGUUUGCUACCUGUGUGUACGUAGCACGUGCACUGGGGACAAAGAUGACUGUAACUUUUAUCAAGUUUUUACUGUUGUGUACUCUUUCCAUUAGGGAUGGUGAUGGUUCAUGCUGAAUGCUGAUGUAAACUGUGGUUUCAUAUUCAAUGAAAAUGGAACGGGGCGGGGCCUGUGGCUCUGAAAAAUUUGUCA